rnacentral:rRNA from 1 species
GGUUAAAAAGCUCGUAGUUGGAUUUCUGUUGAGGAUGACCGGUCCGCUCUUUGAGCGCGUAUCUGGUUCAGCCUUGGCAUCCUCUUGGGGAACGCUACUGUGCUUGAUUGCAUGGGGCGGUAUUCAAGACUUUUACUUUGAGGAAAUUAGAGUGUUCACUGCAAGCGUUAGCAAUUGAAUACAUUAGCAUGGAAUAAUAAUAUAGGACCUUGGUACUAUUUUGUUGGUUUCUAGAACUAAGGUAAUGACUAAUAGGGACAAUUGGGGGCAUUCGUAUUAACGCGUCAGUGGUGGAAUUCUUAGAUUGCGUUACGACGAACUACUGCGAAAGCAUUUGCCAAGGAUGUUUUCAUUGAUCAAGAACGAAAGUAUGGGGAUCGAAGACGCUUAGAUACCGUCGUAGUCUACACCAUAAACUAUGCCAACUA